rnacentral:ribozyme from 13 species
AUUGAAAAAAAAAAAAAAAAAAAAAAAAAAAAAAAAAAAAAAAAA